rnacentral:rRNA from 1 species
GACGAACGCUGGCGGCGUGCCUAAUACAUGCAAGUUGAGCGCUGAAGGUUGGUACUUGUACCAACUGGAUGAGCAGCGAACGGGUGAGUAACGCGUGGGGAAUCUGCCUUUGAGCGGGGGACAACAUUUGGAAACGAAUGCUAAUACCGGAUAGGAGCUCCUGCUGCAUGGUGGGGGUUGGAAAGUUUCGGCGGUUGGGGAUGGACUCGCGGCUUAUCAGCUUGUUGGUGGGGUAGUGGCUUACCAAGGCUUUGACGGGUAGCCGGCCUGAGAGGGUGACCGGCCACAUUGGGACUGAGAUACGGCCCAGACUCCUACGGGAGGCAGCAGUGGGGAAUAUUGCACAAUGGGCGGAAGCCUGAUGCAGCAACGCCGCGUGCGGGAUGACGGCCCUCGGGUUGUAAACCGCUUUCGCCUGUGACGAAGCGUGAGUGACGGUAAUGGGUAAAGAAGCACCGGCUAACUACGUG